AUGCCCGGGAGUCGCGCCAGCACCGACCCCGAGCACAAGUCACCGCGGGAAAGCGGAGAGGACUCCGAGGAUGAGAGCGAGAUCCUGGAAGAGAGCCCCUGCGGGCGAUGGCUGAAGCGGAGGGAGGAGGUGUACGUUGGGACGAAGUCGGCUCUGUCGGAGGGCUCAAGCUACGGCCCGUCAACGAGAGGAGGCGAGAGCGAAGUUGCGGAAAUGGAGGUGGAGCAACGCGACGUUCCGGGCAUCGACUGCGCCUACCUCGCGAUGGACACCGAGGAAGGCGUCGAGGUCGUCUGGAACGAGGUGCAGUUCUCCGAGAGGAAGAACUUCAAGGCUCAGGAGGAGAAGAUACAGCUGGUCUUCGAGAACUUGACGCAAUUGGAGCACCCCAAUAUCGUCAAGUUCCAUAGGUACUGGACGGACACCCACAACGACAAGCCACGAGUCAUAUUCAUUACGGAGUACAUGUCCUCCGGCUCCCUGAAACAGUUCCUAAAGCGAACGAAGCGCAACGUCAAGAAGUUACCUCUGCAGGCGUGGAAGCGAUGGUGCACGCAAAUCCUCUCCGCCUUGAGCUAUCUGCAUUCCUGCUCGCCGCCGAUUAUUCAUGGAAACCUAACGUGCGAUACGAUAUUCAUCCAGCACAAUGGACUCGUCAAAGUCGGCUCCGUUGCCCCGGACGCGAUUCAUCAUCACGUGAAGACGUUCCGGGCGAACAUGAAGAACAUGCAUUUCGUUGCCCCCGAAUAUGGAAACUCCGUGACUCCAGCCAUCGACAUCUACUCCUUCGGGAUGUGUGCCCUAGAGAUGGCUGCCCUCGAGAUCCAGGGGAACGGCGACUCCGGGACGGUCGUUACCGAGGAGAACGUCAGGAAGACGAUCGAGUCCUUGGACGAUGCUCAACAGAAAGACUUUAUUAGCAAGUGUCUCCAGACGGACCCGCUCUGUAGACCCAGCGCCCGGGAGCUCCUCUUUCAUCCCGUCCUCUUCGAGGUGCACUCGCUCAAGCUCCUCGCCGCUCACGCCUUGGUCAUGUCGGCCACGAAUAUCUCGGAGACGAUAACGGACGAGGUGCUGCAGAGGCUGUAUCGACCCGACACCGUGGUCGCGGAGAUCAAGUUCGCUGGUCGACCUCCACAGCAGAUCCGAUUGAGCGACAUCCCGGUCGCGGAGAAGCUGGAGAAGUUCGUCGAGGACGUCAAGUAUGGAAUUUAUCCGCUGACGGCAUUUAUGGCGAAGCUGCCGCCUCCGGUUCGCCCGAGGGCGAUCUCCCCCGAGGUCACCGAGUCCGUCAAGUCCGUCACCCCCGAGCCCGUCGACGUCGAGUCACGUAGAGUAGUCAAUAUGAUGUGUAACGUUAAGCCGAGGGAGGAGAGCUGCGAACUUCUGAUGACAAUACUGUUGCGAAUGGACGACAAGAUGAACAGGCAGCUGACCUGUCCGGUGACCCAGGUGGACACUUCGAUGCUGCUCGCGCAGGAACUUGUACAUUUUGGGUUUAUUAACGAGAACGAUCGCGACAAGAUCGGCAACCUGAUCGAGGAGGCCCUACGGAGUUGCUUCAAUAAGCAGCUGAUGAGCCCUGGCAUGGUGUCGUUGACGAAUCUCCCAACGCAGGCGACCCUGCUGCUCUCGGGGCCCGAGUUCCCUUGCAUGGAGCACCUCGAGAACUCGGUUGGCCACGCCACGGCCUCCAGCAGCGACAGCGUGACCAGCGUUAAAGCAGCGGCGAGGUCGUUGGAUCUUGCCGGCUACUCCUACCGGUCGACCAACGCUCACGAGGAGACGUCGGUGGAGCCACCGGUCAUCUCCGAGAGCGGCAGUUAACCGUCCAGGAUACCCGGUAACUCAGUUCACUGUGCCACCUUGCACGCUCUAUGUAUAGACUGGCUAUGUAUUUUUAUAUUUAAGUAAAACGCAACGCGGAAGACUCGAGGUAGCGCGCUAGGAGAUGGCGACGAGAGAGAGAGGGGUGUGCGCGCGCCGUGGCAGUAGCCGUCGAGACCGCGGAAAGGGCGCCUCGACCCUCCCACGACUUCCAAACCCCGAAAGCGCGGACCUUUGCUUUAGAGCCCAGGAGGCCGCCCUGGACCCCCUCCCCCAGGUCCUACGGAGGCAAAGAUGGGAGAUUGGAGCGGAAGCGACUGCGAGGCCUGGGGCGUUUCGUCGGUCCGGCCGUGAAGUGCGACGAUCGGCCUUCGGGCUCCCUCAAAACGUCGCCGUUUCCGUUCCGAUACGCACAGGGGAAUCGAGGGGGAUGCGUUUGUAAAGUUAAUCUCACCACACCGUCGUUCGUUUCUGACGUUAAGGUAUACAAGCUUGUGAUAUACAGUUAUAUACAUUAUAUUAAUAAAAUUUCGGUUGUCAUAGAGAACGCAACGGCGAGACGCGGCGUCGGCUUUCGGUCUUCUCACCUUGCUGUUGGUCCGACGAGCGGUCGCGCGAGUCGCCGGGACACCUGGGAGUGUCCUUGAUCGAUGCAAUGUCUCUGGGCACUUGCCAGGGUGGCAGGAAAAAUGAGGCGAGUCCCCAGGUUCUGGGGAAAUUCCCUAGCUUACAAAGGACCUCGGUCGCGACCGAACGAUCGAUGAAACCCUUUGCCGUUUGAUUCUGCGCUCGCCCCAUUUUUUCGACCACCGGGUGGCGUUCCUGAGGAUUGAUGAGAAAAAUUCUCCCGGAAGAGUUCGGAGGUUUCCGUGGAAGCUCACCCUGGGUUGUUUGGAUACUCGAAGAGGAGUCCGGGCUUCCGGGGAAAUUUUCUAACUCUUCGAGCCGGUGUUUUUUGGCAUGGAGAGGCGAUGGACUUCGCGUCCGGAGAAGUGCAUUCGCUGCACUCGUUGCCCUCGUCGCACUCCGACAUCGCCGAGGUGUCUGUCACUAGGCGGAGGGGACGAGGAGACGAGUGACGUUACCCGUGGAAUCCUUGUAAAUAAUUUCUAUUUUUAAGAGGCCGGGAAGAAAGGAACGGGGAGGACGACGAGGCAUCUGCCGAGCGCAGAGAACUAGUCAUACAUAGGUAUAUUCGAGUGCCGACUAACUUGCGCCGACCUUGUUGCGUCUCUUUUGCAUUUACAACCUCUCACCCCGCUUGGCCGAGGGAGAGUAUCGGCUCCCGUUUUUCGUAUCCUCUCCGCGACCGAGUCGAGACCCAUCGACGUGCAUUUCCGACUAAGCGAACGACUAACCGUAUCUUAGCGAUAAUUAUUACCAACCAACACGUAAACCUUCGACCCUAAGCAUUGUAAGUAGGUUACGACAUUUAAAUUCAAUGUAUAGCUUUAUAAUUAUCGAGACAAUUAUGUCAGGAGAACGGAAGAGCGGCGACCGAAUCGUGGAGACAUUAUGAGAAGGGCUGUACGAUACGACAGUUAUAUAUAAAUAAAUACCGUAAUUCGUG
rnacentral:misc_RNA from 1 species